rnacentral:tRNA from 1 species
GCCGGGGUGGCCGAGCGGUUAAGGCGCAGGCCUGCUAAGCCUGUGACGCUUUGCGUCGCGCGGGUUCGAAUCCCGCCCCCGGCG